GGGUCUUUAUCUCAGUGGUAGAGCAUUUAACUGCAGAUCUAGAGGUCACUGGUUCAAACCCGGCAGGGCCCU
rnacentral:tRNA from 1 species